rnacentral:rRNA from 1 species
CAGCAGCCGCGGGAAUACAGAGGGUGCAAGCGUUAAUCGGAAUUACUGGGCGUAAAGCGCGCGUAGGUGGUUUGUUAAGUUGGAUGUGAAAUCCCCGGGCUCAACCUGGGAACUGCAUCCAAAACUGGCAGGCUAGAGUAGGGCAGAGGGUGGUGGAAUUUCCUGUGUAGCGGUGAAAUGCGUAGAGAUCGGGAGGAACAUCAGUGGCGAAGGCGGCCAUCUGGGACAACACUGACGCUGAGGCACGAAAGCGUGGGGAGCAAACAGGAUUAGAUACCCCAGUAGUCCCUGUCUCUUAUAC